GUCCCCAUCGUCUAGAGGCCUAGGACACCGCCCUUUCACGGCGGCAACAGGGGUUCGAAUCCCCUUGGGGAUACCA
rnacentral:tRNA from 1 species